UUGCCCCAGUAACGGCGAGUGAAGCGGCAAGAGCUCAAAUUUGAAAGCUGGCUCCUUCGGGGUCCGCAUUGUAAUUUGCAGAGGAUGCUUCGGGAGCGGUCCCCAUCUAAGUGCCCUGGAACGGGACGUCAUAGAGGGUGAGAAUCCCGUAUGGGAUGGGGUGUCCGCGCCCGUGUGAAGCUCCUUCGACGAGUCGAGUUGUUUGGGAAUGCAGCUCUAAAUGGGUGGUAAAUUUCAUCUAAAGCUAAAUAUUGGCCGGAGACCGAUAGCGCACAAGUAGAGUGAUCGAAAGAUGAAAAGCACUUUGAAAAGAGAGUUAAAAAGCACGUGAAAUUGUUGAAAGGGAAGCGCUUGCGACCAGACUCGCUCGCGGGGUUCAGCCGGCAUUCGUGCCGGUGUACUUCCCCGCGGGCGGGCCAGCGUCGGUUUGGGCGGUCGGUCAAAGGCCCUCGGAAGGUAACGCCCCUMGGGGCGUCUUAUAGCCSAGGGUGCMAUGCGACCUGCCURGACCGAGGAACGCGCUUCGGYUCGGACGCUGGCAUAAUGGUYGUAAGCGACCCGUCUUGAAACACGGACCAAGGAGUCUAACAUCUACGCGAGUGUUCGGGUGUCAAACCCGUSCGCGMAGUGAAAGCGAACGGAGGUGGGAACCCUUWYGGGUGCACCAUCGACCGAUCCUGAWGUCUUCGGAUGGAUUUGAGUAAGAGCGUAGCUGUUGGGACCCGAAAGAUGGUGAACUAUGCCUGAAUAGGGCGAAGCCAGAGGAAACUCUGGUGGAGGCUCGYAGCGGUUCUGACGUGCAAAUCGAUCGUC
rnacentral:rRNA from 1 species